rnacentral:rRNA from 1 species
CUAAGAAUCUUGCGCAAUGGGCGAAAGCCUGACGCAGCAACGCCGCGUGGAGGACGAAGGCCUUCGGGUCGUAAACUCCUUUUGCGAGGGAAGAAGAUCUGACGGUACCUCGCGAAUAAGCCACGGCUAACUACGUGCCAGCAGCCGCGGUAAUACGUAGGUGGCAAGCGUUGUCCGGAUUUACUGGGCGUAAAGAGCCCGCAGGCGGUCCAAUAAGUUCUUGGUGAAAUCUCCUGGCUCAACUGGGAGGGUGCCUGGAAAACUGUUGGACUUGAGGCAGGGAGAGGGAUGUGGAAUUCCCGGUGUAGUGGUGAAAUGCGUAGAUAUCGGGAGGAACACCAGUGGCGAAGGCGGCAUCCUGGCCCUGUCCUGACGCUCAGGGGCGAAAGCGUGGGGAGCAAACCGGAUUAGAUACCCAAGUAGUCCCUGAGCGGGCUGGCAAGGCGCAU